rnacentral:rRNA from 1 species
GACGAACGCUGGCGGCGUGCUUAACACAUGCAAGUCGAACGGACAGACAGAGAGCUUGCUCUCUUGAAGUUAGUGGCGAACGGGUGAGUAACGCGUAAUCAACCUGCCCUUCAGAGGGGGAUAACAACGGGAAACCGUUGCUAAUACCGCGUACGAUUCAUGAACGGCAUCGUUUAUGAAUGAAAGGUGGCCUCUAUGUAUAAGCUAUCGCUGAAGGAGGGGAUUGCGGCUGAUUAGCUAGUUGGAGGGGUAACGGCCCACCAAGGCAAUGAUCAGUAGCCGGUCUGGGAGGAUGAACGGCCACAUUGGGACUGAGACACGGCCCAAGCUCCUACGGGAGGCAGCAGUGGGGAAUCUUCCGCAAUGGACGAAAGUCUGACGGAGCAACGCCGCGUGAGUGAUGAAGGUCUUCGGAUUGUAAAGCUCUGUUAAUCGGGACGAAAGAGUUCUGCGUGAAUAAUGCAGAAAAGUGACGGUACCGGAAUAGAAAGCCACGGCUAACUACGUGCCAGCAGCCGCCGUAA